rnacentral:rRNA from 1 species
UACGUAGGGUGCAAGCGUUAAUCGGAAUUACUGGGCGUAAAGCGUGCGCAGGCGGUUAUGCAAGGCAGAUGUGAAAUCCCCGGGCUCAACCUGGGAACUGCAUUUGUGACUGCAUGGCUAGAGUACGGUAGAGGGGAAUGGAAUUCCGCGUGUAGCAGUGAAAUGCGUAGAUAUGCGGAGGAACACCGAUGGCGAAGGCAAUCCCCUGGACCUGUACUGACGCUCAUGCACGAAAGCGUGGGGAGCAAACAGG